UGGGGAAUUUUGGACAAUGGGCGAAAGCCUGAUCCAGCAAUGCCGCGUGUGUGAAGAAGGCCUUCGGGUUGUAAAGCACUUUUGUCCGGAAAGAAAUCCUUGGCUCUAAUACAGUCGGGGGAUGACGGUACCGGAAGAAUAAGCACCGGCUAACUACGUGCCAGCAGCCGCGGUAAUACGUAGGGUGCAAGCGUUAAUCGGAAUUACUGGGCGUAAAGCGUGCGCAGGCGGUUUGCUAAGACCGAUGUGAAAUCCCCGGGCUCAACCUGGGAACUGCAUUGGUGACUGGCAGGCUAGAGUAUGGCAGAGGGGGGUAGAAUUCCACGUGUAGCAGUGAAAUGCGUAGAGAUGUGGAGGAAUACCGAUGGCGAAGGCAGCCCCCUGGGCCAAUACUGACGCUCAUGCACGAAAGCGUGGGGAGCAAACAGGAUUAGAUACCCUGGUAGUCCACGCCCUAAACGAUGUCAACUAGUUGUUGGGAUUCAUUUCCUUAGUAACGUAGCUAACGCGUGAAGUUGACCGCCUGGGGAGUACGGUCGCAAGAUUAAAACUCAAAUGAAUUGAC
rnacentral:rRNA from 1 species